AUUGAACGCUGGCGGCAUGCCUUACACAUGCAAGUCGAACGGCAGUCUUCGGACUGUAGUGGCGCACGGGUGAGUAACGCGUAACUGACCUACCCCAAAGUCGCGGAUAACGAUUCGAAAGAAUCGCUAAUACGUGAUGUGCUGUCAGAUUGUGUUCUGCCAGUAAAGAUUGAUUGCUUUGGGAUGGGGUUGCGUUCCAUCAGCUAGUUGGUGGGGUAAAGGCCCACCAAGGCGACGACGGAUAGCCGGCCUGAGAGGGUGGCCGGCCACAGGGGCACUGAGACACGGGUCCCACUCCUACGGGAGGCAGCAGUUAGGAAUCUUCCACAAUGGGCGAAAGCCUGAUGGAGCGACGCCGCGUGAGGGAUGAAGGUCUUCGGAUCGUAAACCUCUGAAUCAGGGACGAAAGACACUUCGGUGGGAUGACGGUACCUGAGUAAUAGCACCGGCUAACUCCGUGCCAGCAGCCGCAGUAACAC
rnacentral:rRNA from 1 species